GGAAUCAUCUUAGCGCUGGUUCUCAUGCGUGACAUGAGAGGACGAGGAGAAGGUUGUCGAGCCGUCAGCGGAUGCCUUCCGGCCGCCCGCCGAUAGAUUCCCGGCAAAGCCCGUGCGCGAGCGCGGGGACAAAAUGGGAUGGGGCGCAGCAG
rnacentral:ncRNA from 2 species